CGGGGUGCAGCAGGCGCGAAAACUUUACAAUGCCGGCAACGGCGAUAAGGGAACCUCGAGUGCCAGGUUACAAAUCUGGCUGUCGUGAUGCCUAAAAAGCAUUGCAUAGCAAGGGCCGGGCAAGACCGGUGCCAGCCGCCGCGGUAACACCGGCGGCUCGAGUGGUAACCGUUAUUAUUGGGUCUAAAGGGUCUGUAGCCGGCCGGGUAAGUCUCUUGGGAAAUCUGGCAGCUUAACUGUCAGGCUUUCAGGAGAUACUGCCUGGCUCGAGGCCGGGAGAGGUGAGAGGUACUUCAGGGGUAGGGGUGAAAUCUUGUAAUCCUUGAAGGACCACCAGUGGCGAAGGCGUCUCACCAGAACGGACCUGACGGCAAGGGACGAAAGCUAGGGGCACGAACCGGAUUAGAUACCCGGGUAGUCCUAGCCGUAAACGAUACUCGCUAGGUGUCGGCCACGGUGCGACCGUUGUCGGUGCCGUAGGGAAGCCGUGAAGCGAGCCACCUGGGAAGUACGGCCGCAAGGCUGAAACUUAAAGGAAUUGGCGGGGGAGCACAAGGGCGAAUCGC
rnacentral:rRNA from 1 species